rnacentral:rRNA from 1 species
GCAUGACUCUUGGCAAUGGAUAUCUUGGCUCUUGCAUCGAUGAAGAACAUAGCGAAAUAUGAUACUUGGUGUGAAUUGCAAAAUCUUGUGAAUCAUCGAGUAUUUGAACGCAAGUUGCGCUCAAUGCUGUCAGGCUAAGGGCAUUCCUGCUUGGGCAUCACGCC